UAGGGAAUCUUCCACAAUGGACGAAAGUCUGAUGGAGCAACGCCGCGUGAGUGAAGAAGGUUUUCGGAUCGUAAAGCUCUGUUGUUGGUGAAGAAGGAUAGAGGCAGUAACUGGUCUUUAUUUGACGGUAAUCAACCAGAAAGUCACGGCUAACUACAUGCUAG
rnacentral:rRNA from 1 species